AGUGAACGCUGGCGGUAGGCCUAACACAUGCAAGUCGAACGGCAGCACAGUAAGAGCUUGCUCUUACGGGUGGCGAGUGACGGACGGGUGAGGAAUACAUCGGAAUCUACUUUUUCGUGGGGGAUAACGUAGGGAAACUUACGCUAUUACCGCAUACGACCUACGGGUGAAAGCAGGGGAUCUUCGGACCUUGCGCGAUUGAAUGAGCCGAUGUCGGAUUAGCUAGUUGGCGGGGUAAAGGCCCACCAAGGCGACGAUCCGUAGCUGGUCUGAGAGGAUGAUCAGCCACACUGGAACUGAGACACGGUCCAGACUCCUACGGGAGGCAGCAGUGGGGAAUAUUGGACAAUGGGCGCAAGCCUGAUCCAGCCAUACCGCGUGGGUGAAGAAGGCCUUCGGGUUGUAAAGCCCUUUUGUUGGGAAAGAAAAGCAGCAGGUUAAUACCCCGCUGUUCUGACGGUACCCAAGGAAUAAGCACCGGCUAACUUCGUG
rnacentral:rRNA from 1 species